rnacentral:rRNA from 1 species
CAGAACUAGAGGAUGGUAGAGGGAGGUGGAUUCCAGGUGUAGCGGUGGAAUGCGCAGAUAUCUGGAGGAACACCGGUGGCGAAGGCGGCCUCCUGGACCAUUCCUGACACUCAGACGCGAAAGCUAGGGUAGCAAACGGGAUUAGAGACCCCGGUAGUCCUAGCCCUAAACGAUGUAGACUAGGCGUCGGAAGCUUAAUCGCUUUCGGUGUCCAAGCUAACGCGAUAAGUCUACCGCCUGGGGACUACGGCCGCAAGGUUAAAACUCAAAGGAAUUGACGGGUCCCCGCACAAGCAGCGGAGCGUGUGGUUUAAUUCGAUGCAACGCGAAGAACCUUACCAAGGCUUGACAUACAUUCGUAGUUCCCAGAGAUGGGGGUGCCGUAAGGCGGGUGUACAGGUGGUGCAUGGUUGUCGUCAGCUCGUGUCGUGAGAUGUUGGGUUAAGUCCCGCAACGAGCGCAACCCUUGUUCCAUGUUGCCAGCGGGUUAUGCCGGGGACUCAUGGGAGACUGCCGGGGUCAACUCGGAGGAAGGUGGGGAUGACGUCAAAUCAUCAUGCCCCUUAUGCCUUGGGCUUCACGCAUGCUACAAUGGCCGGUACAGAGGGUUGCGAUCUCGUGAGGGUGAGCGAAUCCCGUAAAGCCGGUCUCAGUUCGGAUUGGGGUCUGCAACUCGACCCCAUGAAGUUGGAGUCGCUAGUAAUCGUAGAUCAGCAACGCUGCGGUGAAUACGUUCUCGGGCCUUGUACACACCGCCCGU